rnacentral:rRNA from 1 species
GACGAACGCUGGCGGCGUGCUUAACACAUGCAAGUCGAACGGAAAGGCCCUGCUUUUGUGGGGUGCUCGAGUGGCGAACGGGUGAGUAACACGUGAGUAACCUGCCCUUGACUUUGGGAUAACUUCAGGAAACUGGGGCUAAUACCGGAUAGGAGCUCCUGCUGCAUGGUGGGGGUUGGAAAGUUUCGGCGGUUGGGGAUGGACUCGCGGCUUAUCAGCUUGUUGGUGGGGUAGUGGCUUACCAAGGCUUUGACGGGUAGCCGGCCUGAGAGGGUGACCGGCCACAUUGGGACUGAGAUACGGCCCAGACUCCGACGGGAGGAAGGAGUGGGGAAUAUUGCACAAUGGGCGGAAGCAUGAUGCAGCAACGCCGCGUGCGGGAUGACGGCCUUCGGGUUGUAAACCGCUUUCGCCUGUGACGAAGCGUGAGUGACGGUAAUGGGGAAAGAAGCACCGGCUAACUACGU